GUACACUCCUGCGGGAGGCAGCAGUGGGGAAUUUUGGACAAUGGGCGAAAGCCUGAUCCAGCAAUGCCGCGUGAGUGAAGAAGGCCUUCGGGUUGUAAAGCUCUUUUGUCAGGGAAGAAACGGUGAAAGCUAAUAUCUUUUGCUAAUGACGGUACCUGAAGAAUAAGCACCGGCUAACUACGUGCCAGCAGCCGCGGUAAUACGUAGGGUGCAAGCGUUAAUCGGAAUUACUGGGCGUAAAGCGUGCGCAGGCGGUUUUGUAAGUCUGAUGUGAAAUCCCCGGGCUCAACCUGGGAAUUGCAUUGGAGACUGCAAGGCUAGAAUCUGGCAGAGGGGGGUAGAAUUCCACGUGUAGCAGUGAAAUGCGUAGAUAUGUGGAGGAACACCGAUGGCGAAGGCAGCCCCCUGGGUCAAGAUUGACGCUCAUGCACGAAAGCGUGGGGAGCAAACAGGAUUAGAUACCCGGGUAGUCCCAUG
rnacentral:rRNA from 1 species